GGGUAGGUACCAAAGCGGUCAACUGGGGCAGACUGUAAAUCUGCUGGCUAACGCCUACGGGGGUUCGAAUCCCUCCCUGCCCA
rnacentral:tRNA from 1 species